GGUCAAGAAGAGAAGCGCAAACGGUGGAUGCCUUGGCAGUAAGAGGCGAAGAAGGACGUGGAAUCCUGCGAAAAGCUAUGGGGAGCUGGAAACGAGCGUUGAGCCAUAGAUGUCCGAAUGGGGGAACCCGGCUGCAGCGAUGCGGUCAUUUGCAUUUGAAUACAUAGGAUGCAAAGGCGAACUCGGGGAACUGAAACAUCUAAGUACCCGAAGGAAAAGAAAUCAAGAGAGAUUCUCCAAGUAGCGGCGAGCGAACGGGGAGGAGCCUGGCGUGAUUUAUUAUUGAACUGAGUAGAACAAUUUGGGAAAGUUGGCCGAAGAGGGUGAAAGCCCCGUAUACGAAGGUUUGAUGAGGAACUAGGCACGCGAACAAGUAGGCCGGGACACGUGAAAUCCUGGUUGAAGAUGGGUGGACCAUCAUCCAAGGCUAAAUACUACUUACUGACCGAUAGUGAACCAGUACCGUGAGGGAAAGGUGAAAAGAACCCCGGAGAGGGGAGUGAAAUAGAAUCUGAAACCGUUUGCGUACAAGCAGUGGGAGCAUGGUUUAGGCUGUGUGACUGCGUACCUUUUGUAUAAUGGGUCAGCGAGUUACUUUCAGUGGCGAGGUUAACUGAAUAAGGGAGCCGUAGAGAAAUCGAGUCUGAAUAGGGCGAUAGUCGCUGGGAGUAGACCCGAAACCGGGCGAUCUAGCCAUGUGCAGGAUGAAGGUUGGGUAACACCAACUGGAGGUCCGAACCGGGUAAUGUUGAAAAAUUAUCGGAUGACGUGUGGCUAGGAGUGAA
rnacentral:rRNA from 1 species